rnacentral:rRNA from 1 species
UACGGAGGGGGCUAGCGUUGUUCGGAAUUACUGGGCGUAAAGCGCACGUAGGCGGCUUUGUAAGUUAGAGGUGAAAGCCCAAGGCUUAACUCUGGAAUUGCCUUUAAGACUGCAUCGCUAGAAUCGUGGAGAGGUGAGUGGAAUUCCGAGUGUAGAGGUGAAAUUCGUAGAUAUUCGGAAGAACACCAGUGGCGAAGGCGACUCACUGGACACGUAUUGACGCUGAGGUGCGAAAGCGUGGGGAGCAAACAGG